rnacentral:rRNA from 1 species
UACGGGGGGGGCAAGCGUUGUUCGGAAUUACUGGGCGUAAAGCGCGCGUAGGCGGCUUUGCAAGUCGGGUGUGAAAUCCCCAGGCUUAACCUGGGAACUGCAUUCGAGACUGCAUUGCUAGAGUAUGGGAGAGGGAAGUGGAAUUUCCGGUGUAGCGGUGAAAUGCGUAGAUAUUAGGAAGAACACCAGUGGCGAAGGCGACUUACUGGACUGAAACUGACGCUGAGUCACGAAAGCGUGGGGAGCGAACAGG